rnacentral:rRNA from 1 species
AACGAACGCUGGCGGCAUGCCUAACACAUGCAAGUCGAACGAGACCUUCGGGUCUAGUGGCGCACGGGUGCGUAACGCGUGGGAAUCUGCCCUUGGGUGCGGAAUAACAGUUAGAAAUGACUGCUAAUACCGCAUAAUGACUCCGGUCCAAAGAUUUAUCGCCCAAGGAUGAGCCCGCGUCGGAUUAGCCAGUUGGUGAGGUAAGAGCUCACCAAGGCGACGAUCCGUAGCUGGUCUGAGAGGAUGAUCAGCCACACUGGGACUGAGACACGGCCCAGACUCCUACGGGAGGCAGCAGUGGGGAAUAUUGGACAAUGGGCGAAAGCCUGAGCCAGCAAUGCCGCGUGGGUGAUGAAGGCCUUAGGGUUGUAAAGCUCUUUUACCCGGGAUGAUAAUGACAGUACCGGGAGAAUAAGCCCCGGCUAACUCCGUGCCAGCAGCCGCAGUAA